AAUCGUAAGCUGGUAGGUGUUAGGAAAGGCACAACAAAUUGGGUACCGUGACUCUGCUGCCAAAGAACUGAAAAAGAUGAAGUUUGUCAGCCCACUUUUGGGCAAGAUAACCUGAAGAUAUUUAGUAGAAGUGAAUUAAAAUUCAUCAUCUUGACCUGACUCCUGCAGGGAAGCGUUUGCCAUCCCUACAGACAAGAUCUCCGAUCAGCUCUUUGUCCUGGAAGAUGCAAAGAGGGGGAGAGGUGCCUUGCUGCUGUUUCUUAGAGCUCAAUUAUCGAGGACAUAAAUCAAAUCCAUAUAAUGGAGGAACAUCACAAGGGAUACAGAGACUUCAAAAGAGAUUUGAAUGGAAAGAAGCAGUCAAAGGGACAGGGCUGAUGAACUGCACUUAUUAACUUGACUUGGUGGUGAUGAGAAUGGUAUUGACAAAAAGGCUGUGGUAGACUUCAAACGCAUUUACUGCCACCAUGAGCACUGCUAGUUAGAGCACUGCUCUGGCAAAAAGUUGGAACUACUUUACACGUUGAUGCUAGGUCUCCAGUGAGGGGCUCAUCAUCUGAAGGUGAGCACAGUUUGGGAGUUGAAAGCAAAGCAUUGAAACACAUCCACUGCCUCCAGUAGCUGGGAGCUGGAAAACAUCAAAGCCAGCCCCGCUGCAAGGUACCUGCUGAAUCAAGGGAUGGAAGGGACCUGCUGGAGGAAUGAGUCCACCUGCUUGCUAACAGGGUGGUAUUCACAGCUUGCUCAAAACGUGGGGAAAUCACUUAUAGCUUCAUUAUGCUCCUUGUUGAUUCAUCUUGCUGUAAACUUUUGAACAGGUUGCUUGCUGCUCCAUCCAGCUUACUCUCUGAUAGGAUGGAUAUACAGCUACCUUCACGUCCUGCUUGAAGGUCCCUCUCUGUAUAUAAGCUGUGCAUUACUACCACAGGAGUUUGUCUGCAGCAAGGAAGCCAUUUCAUCACAUCUCCUUAUUGCUGGUCCCCCAAAGACAGAACUGCAGAGGAAAUUGGCAUAUCUAAUCGAUCUCUUUUGUCAAAUGGAUACUUAAAUGUGUGAAGAUUUGUCCACUCUCUGCCUGUUACUAAGUUCCUUUGAGUUAAAUGGGAUAUAUUUUUUUUUCUUUUUGUAAAUGAAGAGGAAAGAACUAAGUGAAACAUCAUUUACAUUCAGAAGCGGCUGGAUCCAGGGAAGCAUACU